rnacentral:rRNA from 1 species
GAUGAACGCUGGCGGCGUGUUUAACACAUGCAAGUCGAACGAAGCAUUUAGAUUUGAUUUUUUCGGAAUGAGGAUCUUUAUGACUGAGUGGCGGACGGGUGAGUAACGCGUGGGUAACCUGCCUUAUACUGGGGGAUAGCAGCUGGAAACGGCUGGUAAUACCGCAUAAGCGCACAGUGACACAUGUCACGGUGUGAAAAACUCCGGUGGUAUAAGAUGGACCCGCGUCUGAUUAGUUAGUUGGUGAGGUAACGGCCCACCAAGACCGCGAUCAGUAGCCGACCUGAGAGGGUGACCGGCCACAUUGGGACUGAGACACGGCCCAGACUCCUACGGGAGGCAGCAGUGGGGAAUAUUGCACAAUGGAGGAAACUCUGAUGCAGCGACGCCGCGUGAGUGAAGAAGUAUUUCGGUAUGUAAAGCUUUAUCAGCAGGGAAGAUAGUGACGGUACCUGACUAAG